UUCAGGAAGGAAAGAAAUACCGAUGAACAUGAUAAUACCCCAAAGCAAGUUAAUACCCAUGGAUACACGCCAUUGAGCAGUCUUGUGCAACUUGUGAGUACCCAUGUUGAUACAAGCGGCAAUGAAAAUACCACCAGUGACAGCCAAUUGAUAGGUGGUGACAAUGGUACCACGAAGGGUAGCGGGAGCAACCUCAGAUUGGAAACCGGGGGCAAGCACAGACAAGGCACCAAUGGCAAGACCAGUCCAAAUCUUAGCAACCAUGAUUUGGACCCAAGAUGGGACAGCGGUAACUUGAAGAAUAAUACCAAUCAAAUAAACAAUAGUCCAAAACAUAAUGGAAACACGCUUGCCAAUGCGAUCCAUAAGAGGAGAAGACAAAAUACAACCAGUCAUAGAACCAACGUUAACCAUACCAGUAAUUAAACCUUGUCGCGCUGAAGAAUACGAAUACGUGUCAGUCACCGGAUUAUACCGAUCUGCGAAACGAGAUUGGAAAUCUCUCAUGUUGGUGAUACCACCAAUGGAACCGGUAUCGGCGCCAAACAUCCAUCCGGCCAUGGACACGAAGACCAACAUGACAAU